GAUGGAUGAAAGGCCGGAGCUAACAUG
rnacentral:piRNA from 1 species